CCGCACGGGUGAGUAACACGUAUCCAACCUGCCGUCUACUCUUGGACAGCCUUCUGAAAGGAAGAUUAAUACAAGAUGGCAUCAUGAGUCCACAUGUUCACAUGAUUAAAGGUAUUCCGGUAGACGAUGGGGAUGCGUUCCAUUAGAUAGUAGGCGGGGUAACGGCCCACCUAGUCUUCGAUGGAUAGGGGUUCUGAGAGGAAGGUCCCCCACAUUGGAACUGAGACACGGUCCAA
rnacentral:rRNA from 1 species